GACGAACGCUGGCGGCGUGCUUAACACAUGCAAGUCGAACGGAAAGGCCCUGCUUUUGUGGGGUGCUCGAGUGGCGAACGGGUGAGUAACACGUGAGUAACCUGCCCUUGACUUUGGGAUAACUUCAGGAAACUGGGGCUAAUACCGGAUAGGAGCUCCUGCUGCAUGUGGGGGGUGGGAAGGUUUCGGCGGUUGGGGAUGGACUCGGGGCUUAUCAGCUUGUUGGUGGGGUAGUGGCUUACCAAGGCUUUGACGGGUAGCCGGCCUGAGAGGGUGACCGGCCACAUUGGGACUGAGAUACGGCCCAGACUCCUACGGGAGGCAGCAGUGGGGAAUAUUGCACAAUGGGCGGAAGCCUGAUGCAGCAACGCCGCGUGCGGGAUGACGGCCUUCGGGUUGUAAACCGCUUUCGCCUGUGACGAAGCGUGAGUGACGGUAAUGGGUAAAGAAGCACCGGCUAACUACGUG
rnacentral:rRNA from 1 species